UUUUAUUUGAGAGUUUGAUCCUGGCUCAGGAUGAACGCUGGCGGCGUGCCUAACACAUGCAAGUUGAGCGAUUUACUUCGGUAAAGAGCGGCGGACGGGUGAGUAACGCGUGGGUAACCUACCCUGUACACACGGAUAACAUACCGAAAGGUAUGCUAAUACGGGAUAAUAUAUUUGAGAGGCAUCUCUUGAAUAUCAAAGGUGAGCCAGUACAGGAUGGACCCGCGUCUGAUUAGCUAGUUGGUAAGGUAACGGCUUACCAAGGCGACGAUCAGUAGCCGACCUGAGAGGGUGAUCGGCCACAUUGGAACUGAGACACGGUCCAAACUCCUACGGGAGGCAGCAGUGGGGAAUAUUGCACAAUGGGCGAAAGCCUGAUGCAGCAACGCCGCGUGAGUGAUGAAGGCCUUCGGGUCGUAAAACUCUGUCCUCAAGGAAGAUAAUGACG
rnacentral:rRNA from 1 species